UACGGAGGGAGCUAGCGUUAAUCGGAAUUACUGGGCGUAAAGCGUGCGCAGGCGGCUUUGCAAGACAGAUGUGAAAUCCCCGGGCUCAACCUGGGAACUGCAUUUGUGACUGCAAGGCUAGAGUACGGCAGAGGGGGAUGGAAUUCCGCGUGUAGCAGUGAAAUGCGUAGAUAUGCGGAGGAACACCAAUGGCGAAGGCAAUCCCCUGGGCCUGUACUGACGCUCAUGCACGAAAGCGUGGGGAGCAAACAGG
rnacentral:rRNA from 1 species